ACGGAAGGCAGCAGUGGGGAAUAUUGCACAAUGGGGGAAACCCUGAUGCAGCGACGCCGCGUGAGUGAAGAAGUAUUUCGGUAUGUAAAGCUCUAUCAGCAAGGAAGAAAAUGACGGUACUUGACUAAGAAGCCCCGGCUAACUACGUGCCAGCAGCCGCGGUAAUACGUAGGGGGCAAGCGUUAUCCGGAUUUACUGGGUGUAAAGGGAGCGUAGACGGCAUAGCAAGUCUGAAGUGAAAUGCAUGGGCUCAACCCAUGAACUGCUUUGGAAACUGUUAAGCUAGAGUGCAGGAGAGGUAAGUGGAAUUCCUAGUGUAGCGGUGAAAUGCGUAGAUAUUAGGAGGAACACCAGAGGCGAAGGCGGCUUACUGGACUGUAACUGACGUUGAGGCUCGAAAGCGUGGGGAGCAAACAGGAUUAGAUACCCUGGUA
rnacentral:rRNA from 1 species